ACCCGUCCUACCAUAUAACCCAGU
rnacentral:siRNA from 1 species